UCAAGCUGCCUUUCAGUCCCUCAGCCCCUUUAUAUCCACAUUUGCAAACCCAUCCCAGGCUGGCCUGUAUAUUCGGGAGGAUGGCACUCUGAGCAUCAAGCCACUGAGCCGAGAGGUGGAGCUUGACUUUGCCUCUGGAUCACCCAGGCCCAGCAGUUGAAAUGCCACCUUAGCCGGGUAUUAUCUGCCAGCACUGAGAGCAACACAACUCAACUCCACCAGUGAACCCGAGAGCAAGCAGACAGAAGGUCUAAAUGGAGAGCCUGUUUCAGAUCCCAGCCCUGCCUCUGACAAUCACAUCCUCCUGUCGGUUUCAUCAUCUCAGAAUGAGCUCUCUGUGGCCAGGAUAUUACAGAGCACAACAUGAAGAAAGGUCCUUUGAUGGGGUGGAUGAAGAUGCUGUCCUCCUUUGGUGUCAGUUGGUAACCUGUCCCAUCAACUCUACAGGAUCCAGCUGAGCCUCAAACCAGUGACCGUUUGGAGGUGGAGCAGGGGCAGGAGCUACUGCACUUGAGGGGAGAACACCUAAAGUGCAGGAUAUAAUCCCUCAGCCUCUGCUUGCUCAGUUUGUGUCCAUGACUGACUCAGCUAGAGCCCAGGCUGUAGACACUGACUGACAUAGCCAAACACUGUGCCUACAGCCUUCCUGGGGUGGCCCUGACCCUCAGCUGGCCGAACUGGCACUGCCUGAAGGGCACAUGAAACACUGGCUUCAGAUGUCCAGUUGCUCCCUGAGAACAAGAGGAGAGAACACCUCUGCCAGCUGCAGGAGUUUGUGGUCACUGACAGCAGCAGGAACUGGAGAGUUGGAUAUGAACGAGCAGGGUGAGUAAGAAUCUGUCUGGGGCCAUGGGAGACGACUCGGAAAGAGUGCUUUCCUUUUCUCUUUAUAAUUGACUUCAGAACCAGCAGUGCAGCGCUCUUUUGGAUAAAGAGAUUAUGUUUUUAUUAAGAUAUAAACGAAAUUCCAAAGCUCUGAGUUAUAUAUGUCCCCCUGUCUCUGGGGAGACAUCCAUUUUCACACGAAGACAGGGCUAGAGUCACUCUGGAAUUGAAGUGUUCUGCUGUUCUAUAAGGCAAUUUAUUCGAACCAAAUAAAAGAUGAGUCACCCACUCUUCAAUAUUUUCCUGUGACUCGGAGUGGUUUUGCAAAGCCUUCUUGAACAUUCUGCGUGCUGCCUUCUCUGUGAGCACAUGGUACCUCACGUACUUGAAUGUCCGAAGAAUAUUGGGCAGCGUGGAGGUCUGACAAGGUCUCCCCCAGAUGACACAGCUAUUAAGUAAAAAUGCCCCCCAUGCAGCUUCCUUGCAUGCACCAUGGCUGCAUGAAGCACUCUUCAACCCCUAUCUGCCUUCAGUCCAGGGAAUGUUCUAGGCUUCCCUGGUUAUGAAAGAGAACAUGGUUCAUUGUCCCCUUUUCCAGGUGGAGAAUGUGCUUUACGGGUGUGGAGGAUUUUUUUGUGGGGUGCUCCCUUGGGCUUUUGUUGAGGUCCAUUUCUGUACCUUUAGUUUUCAUUUUUUUUCUUAGCCACAGCUAGUCAUCUCUCAAAUAAUUGUCUUCCUGAAGAAAUCCAUUAGGCUUUUGCAGCUAUUUAGGAUAUGAUUUGGCCAGUGCCAAACUGGAAGAUUUUUUCUUUGCUGUGAACUUUAAUCAUUAUGCUUAAUUUGGGAGAUUGAGGUUUAGUCAUAUGUCAUGUUCGCAGUACACUCCGGCAUAAACAACUGAGAAAAACUGCCCUGGGCCCGACGAGGGGCUCUGCGCCCCCUGGCGGAGGGAGGGGUCCGGGCCCCCUGUGGGCCCGGCCUUAUCUCCCAUCGCCCCACUUAUUGCAGCAGCGGGCCGCGAUAAGGGCAGCGCGCGGCCCGUUAUUGGCCUCAUCCCCCCCCCCCCCCCAACGCACACACACACAGACGGCGAGACCGAUAUGAAGCCGCUUGCUGCGGCCGGUUUCCUCUCCGCCCUUUUUCAUUUCCUCUGCCCGCGUGCAAAUCACACCAUUCUCUCCCGCCCAAGCCGAGCAAAACAGAAAGAGUGAGGGGAAAAGACCUAGCGAAAAACCGAGGAGAAAAAAGAGCGAGAGAAAAGACUUAGGAAAAAAGAGAGAGGAAGAAAACACUGCCGAGAAAGAGCAUGUGAAAAACAACUAGCGAAAAGGAGGAGGGGGGAAGACCUGCCGAGAAAAGGGGAGGGGAAAACUCAAGCAAGAAAGAAUGAGGGGGAUAAAAAGCCUUACCGAGGAAGCACGAAGGGAAAAAAGAUCUAGUGAGGAAGCAGGAGUGGGAAGGAAAAACAAAACAAAACAAAACAAAACAAAAAAACCUAGUGAGAAAGAGGAACGGGAGACCACCUAGCUAGAAAAAGGAGGAAAAAAAGAUGUAGUGGGGAACCGGAGAAGGACCUAGCGAAAACUCUAGGACGGAAAAACCUAGCGAGAAAAAGAGGGAAGGUGAAAAGGCGAGCCCGGCGGCGAGGCUGGAAAAAGCGCGCGAGCAAGCGCUAGGCGGGAAUGCAAACGGACUGAAAAGAGCGGGCGAAAACGAGCUAGGGGGAAGCGGGCGAGAAAAAAAGAACGAAGGGGAAAGAGCGAUGCUGAAGGCGAAGGAAAGAGCAAGCGAUAAAGAACGAUGAAAAAAGAACGAGGGAGAAAGAAGAUAGAAAAAAAAAAAAUUCGAGGAGAAGAGCGAGGGCGCCGCCAUCGGCCGCUUGGCUUUUCGAUCCUGCUCGUCCUCGGCGCGGCCGGGAAACUGCAGCCCGUGGCUGCUUUUACGGUGUCUGGUGUUGCAAGGCAGAGUUUUGUGUGCAUUUUAAACAUAACCGGACACUAAAACCUGAAACCCGCACCCCAAAACCCCUAUUUUACAAAAGCGCCCGGUGCACGGCGGCUUCGGCACGGCGGCUUCGGCACGGCGGCUUCGGCACAGCGGCUUCGGCACGGCAGCUGCUCCCGCUGCCGCUGCUGCUGCUGCGCCCGCGCGUGGCCGCCAGAAGGAAGGGGCGCGAAUUGCCUAGUAACUAAUGUGGCAGGGGUCCCUCUGCUUGUGGUUGCAGGCAGCGGAUUCUGAUAUUGGAUCUCUAUGUCCCCAGCGAUGUUCAUAGUUACCACAGGCACGCAGACAAAGUUUCUCAAGUGCUGAAUUUCUUUCAAGCUAGUAAGGAGCCGGCAGCCCGUAGCACGUUUUUUGUUUCUAUUUUAACUCCAUUAUUGUUUGGGUUUUUUUUUCCUGGGCUCUAUUUGUCAUUUUCUCUAUAAGCCUGGCUUUUAAUUUUUGCAGUUAGAAGCUGUAUUGCUUCAUCAAUUUUCAGGAUAGCCUUCUGUUAUUAAUUUUAUGCUUCCAUACUGGGAACUGUGCAGAAAUCUUUUUGUAUAUGAAACUCUAAAUAAUAGCGUAGAGUUUUUGUUGUUUUUUGUGUGUGUAUUUGUUGUUGUUGAAUUCCACAGCUUUGUACAGCAAUUCAUAAUGAGCAAAGCCUCCGGCAGAAGAGAUGAACCUGGUUUUCACGGCUGUCUCCCAACUCCACAGAGCACAGUUUUACUUGAAAGUAGUGAUUUUAAAAUUUCUUGAUGAUAUUAAAAUUUUAUGAAAAUGCCUUGUCCUCAAAGGUAACAAUUUACUCAUUUCACAAGAUGAUGUGUUUUUUAAAACUGGACCCUUCUGCUUGAUGCAUUUGUCUAAUGUUAAUUCCCUUGUUUUUUCCAUUCUCCUUGAAGAGUUCUAUGUGCAUGUAUAAAAUAAAAAUGCCUUGUCCUCAAAGGUAACAAUUUACUCAUUUCACAAGAUGAUGUGUUUUUAAAACUGGACCCUUCUGCUUGGUGCAUUUGUCUAAUGUUAAUUUCCUUUUUUUAUCCAUUCUCCUUGAAGAGUUCUAUGUGCAUGUAUGUAUUAUUAUUAUUAUGACCUGUUUAAACAUCUCCCCUGUGUACACUAGUGAGAACUGGAAGAAUUGCUUUCUCUUGCUUAUAAAUUGAUUGUGAGGGUGGACAUGAACAUAAAAAUGCCCCUGUGCUGGGCAGAGUGCUGCUUAUAAUUGCCUCAGCCGGCACUGUCUCACGGCUGGCUCUGGCUCUGCCUCAGCCGGCACUGCCUCAGCCGGCUCUGCCUCACGGCUGGCUCUGCCUCACGGCUGGCUCUCUCACAUUGCUUGCAGGUGGUGGCGAUGCUGUGGAAGUUGUACUCCCAUGGUGCGUGUGCUCUGGGGCUCAGUUUCAUCCAGGAGCUCAUCUCACAGUGUCGGCCCUGCCCUGAGUCGGUUGGAAGGCAGGCUUUUGCUUGCAUCUGCCGGCUUAGCACGGCCACGGAGAAUCUGCCUGUGGAUUCCUUUCCCUGGCAGAGCCUGGGGAUCAAUUUACUGAGCCUCCUCACCUUGUAGGAGACUGACCAGCUGUGUGAGGUACACUGUCUUGUCCAGGGUCACCCUGGGCACGUGUUCAUACCCCAGACAUGGUUGGUACCUACUGUGUUUCAUCCUGGAGCUGAAAUCCGUGAUGAGCCCGCAGGCUCUCUCACCAGAUCCAGCCCACUCCUGUCACACUUCAUCCAGGGUGUACCGGAGCAGUAUGUUAGAAUGCAGAAACCCCUUUUCAUGCCCCCAGUGUAAAGCUUAUGUCACCUUAUCUUCUUGAUAAUGCCCUCUGCCUAGCACCUGCAGUGACCAGAGCUCAUCUUAAAUGUCAGCCAUUUUGGACACAUCUGAUUCUCUAGUAAUAGCCCCUGAGUAUGGAACACGGUGAAUCACUGUAGCACACUUAUUAACCUUUAAGGAUAAUUGUUUUAGGUGAAGCAUUAACCCCAGAGAGGUCAAGUGGACCUAUCAGGAUCCCACUAGUAGUGGAAAGCCCUGGUUUUGGGGUUUUGGUUUUGAGGGUUUUGUUCCCCCAAAUGUUAUUUUUGUCAUUUUGGUGUUUCAUCAUGCUGUCUCCUGGCACCGCAAAGGCAAAGGGGAUUGUGCGCCAUCUCCAGGAGCUAGUUGCCCAGCUGUGCUGACCGCCAUCGUUGAUGGAGUCUGGGCAGAUCCCAGGCCCACAGUUCAGGUCUCUGUGCCUGGCAAACAACUACAGUGAGAGGACUCACCAGCGCCCCCUGUUGGUCUAUGAGGACAUAGCCGGUAUUUUUCCACUGCACAGCCAUCUGUGAAGAAAAACAUUGCUGCAUCAUUGUGCAGCAAAUGUAGAAAUGAAUUUUUUUUUACGCUUUUAAAUAUUUAUCUGGAAUUUAGAAAAAAAUAUGAGAAACAAGAAAUGAUACCUAUUCAUUUUGUUCAAGAAAAACCAACAAGAUUAAAAAAAAAAAAACCACAAAACCUUAUUAUUAAAGAUGAAGAAAAUCCAGGAAAACCCAGUGCAAGGGAAGGAUGUUGAGGAGAUAGUAUACCUCAGAGACUAAUUAAUUUCAUCUGAGACCAGCUGUGAGAAGAAGGUGUUAGGGUGACAAGGCAGAUCUGGAGCGAGACCUAGCUGGCCCAGAGCCUGCUGUGAGCUCCCUGCCAGUGGCCUGGGCAGAGCAGCCUCCAUGCAGUGAAGUGUACCUUCCCCUCCUGUGCUGCCCCAUGCUGUCCGACCUGAUGCAGUCCAACUGUGUAGUACACGUUGACACCCAGAGCCUACUCGAUGAUCUUAGAUGCCAUCGCCAUGGUGCCAGCCCACCACGACACCAACUUCCCUUAGAGGGAACACCCAGAGGACCCAGAAUCCAUACACCUGGCUCAAGUCUCCACUCAUUUGUUUGUCCUAAGACUUUCAAUGGCACCACCCUACUGGAACAGAAUUUCCUCACUCAAAGAAACAAGUCUAGUUUUGCUGUCCAGGGCCAGUUGUGAGAAGGAAGGCAGGAAUAUCGCAUACACACUGCAGGCUGAGGAGCAGGGCAGAGUCCACUCUGUGCGCAGGUGGAUGUGACCAGCUUUGAGAGGCCUGAGUCUGGGCCAGCAUCUGGUCUUCCCUGGCAGCCAGCCCCUGUCUUAGAAGCAGGCUUCUGAACAAAUUAUCACUGGCCAGGUGUGUGCAGGGUGGUGCCACUGUGUUAGGGGACAAGCACAGAGAAUUAGCCGCCGCACACUUAGGAGACCAGGCUCAGAACAGCUAACCAACUUACCUGAGGCACAAAGGGACCAGUUUAAGUUCUGAACCUAUACCUGCUGGCUCUAAAACCUACAUUUUCCCUCUAGAUCUUGGUCAGCCAUUCUGUGGGAGUGAGUUAUAAAUAUUAGCCACUGUUUAUAACUAAAUUCAGUUCUUGAAAUUUAAAAGUAAACACACAUACACACACAAACACCUCCCCCACUCCUACACCUUUAGAACCUAUAGAUUCUGAAGUAAAUGUCUUUAGAAUUACAGAUGUAUGUGUGCUUUGAAGACCUUGAAGAAGCCCCUGGCGGGCUGCAGCUCUCAUCUCUGCAGCCUAUAGUGAGUGAAGAAGCUGUUCCUGUGGGCCUGUUUGUGGAACACUUGCUUCCCAGCCUCCUGAGCCUGGCAUUGGAUCCUGUGCCACAUCUGAGGGUUCUUCUGGCCAAAACCCUGUGGCAGACACUGCUGGAGAAGGGUGUGUGGGUCUUGUUGGCUUCUCCGUGAACCCUAGCUGUGACAGGUGGCAGCUAGGCUCUCAAGGAAUUAUAGCAGACUGAAUAGUAGCACAUUGGAAAUACAAGACAGCCGAAGAGAUGAAUAUAAUUCUGUUUUUUAAGCAAGGAUACAGCAGAUACAAACUGUCACACAACUUUCUAGGUCGUUUAUCAGUUCCAGUUAUGAUCUGAAAGGAAGCCAAAGUUCAUCUCAAAGCUACUGCAGUAUGAUACAGAAUGUAAGCUGUGUGUCUAUGCUGGCUUGUUUCUCCACCAUAGUGUGGGCCCGUUUGUUCAUUUCUAGCCUUCUUCCUUCCCUGUUCCCUACACAUGCCAGUUCUUGUGAACUGCACAACAAGAUGCAUUUAAAGGUGUAGUUGCUUUAACUUUUAAAGCAGGUGUCACUACUAACAGUCACCAUUAAAAUCUCAGAAAUAAUUUUGUAAUAAGGCAUUUUAUCGUCUGAAAGGACUUAGGAAUGUGGCUAUCCUUGGAAAUUUUAUCCAGUGUCUUGACGUGUGGCUCAAAAGACAACAAAACUGGAUAUGUUCUAGAACACAGUUCAUGGCACAUGUAACUAACUUUUCUCUCCUUAGCAUAUUUUAGAAAUGUUGGGAACCAUCAUCUUGAAGUUGUUGAAGCGACUUUCUUGACUCUGCAGCCUGACCAAGAUGUUUCAUUCUUUGCUUCCUCAGAAUCAAAGAUGCAGAAUGCUCUAGAUACCACUAUACUAGAAAACUAGAACUAUCACCCUGUGAUGGGUACAUGGGGAUGUCUUUGAUGCACACUUAAAGAAGAUCCAGUUGUAUUAGACUUUUGGAAGAGGCUUAUCUCAGGUGAUGGGGCAGCCCAGUGUUUCCCACCUCCUUGCAGACCUAAUCAGUGGCAGUUUGUAGAAAGGUUGUGGGUCCAGACACCAAUGGCUGUCAGGGCUUCCUCACUAUCAGCUGUGAUCAGCAGUUUGUUUGUUUGUUUGUUUGUUUGUUUGUUUUUGAGAAAGUGUUUUUUUAAAUCUUCCCUCAGAGCCUGGUACAGUUGCUCAUAUCUAUAAUUCCAGCACCUGGAAGACUUGGGCAGGAAGAUCAAAAGUUCAAGGCCAAUACAGAAAAUUCUAGGUCUGUCUGAGUUAUGUAACAAAACCUUGUUCCAAGAAACCAAACAUAAAUACAGCUUUCCUUGCUAAUAAAGUAAUAGUAGAAGCUUCUAAGUAUUCUCUGGGCUUGCUGCCCUAAUCCUCUCUGGAAAAAAAAAAAAUGGAGUUUAUGGCAUUGUAUUUCAUCUCCAACUGAAAUAGCAUACAUAUGUAAAUAACUUGACAGGAAGAAGAUACAUGGAUGUAACAUUAGCCUCUAUCAGUCAUUUGAAGUUGUGUCCUGCUUUGGAAUUGCUGCAGAUGCAGCUCAUUUUGUUGACCUUUGAACAAUAUCCUUACAAAAGCAGGUGGGCAAAGAACGGUUACCCUCUAUUAUGUGGCCCUGCUUUGGUAUUAUACUUUUGUUAUAAACUGCUGUACCUGGAAUGUACAGCCCUCACCCUUCUUCUAUUUCAGAAACUUUGGAAAUGGUCUUUGAGGGCAGCUAGAGUUUUAAGGUUGUUUCAAUGUGGACAUGUCCAAGGACUCAGGUAGGGGUGGGGGCAGGGGCUGACUGCUGAGAUGCAAAGGAAUUGAUUAUAUUUUAGGCAAGAAGGGAAGGAAGGAAAGAGAAAACAUACUUUCAACCUGAACUUCCUACAAAUACUGUUGAUUUAGGGAGUUAAGUUAUGUAUUCUUUACAUUGGCUUAAAUACAAAGAACUUAGAUGUCCUACUUUUGAAUUUCAGAUGAACAGAAAGAUACUGUAUAGUUUUUUCAUUAUUAAUAAUUAAUAAAUAUAGCUUUUUCAUUAAAUAAUUCUGUAUUCUAUAAACAUUUGAUACGGUUU